ensembl:lncRNA
GCUCCCUCCAGGUCUCCAUGCUCAGGCUAGGGAAUGGGCUGCCCGUGCAGGGUGGGGAGGGGAAGCUUGCCGGGGACAGGGACCAGGCUUCUGGGGAGAUCGUGUGGGGUCUGUUCAGCAGCCCUGGCCCGGGGGAGGGGUGCCCCAGACAGCAAGACUACAGUUUCUGAGUGAAGCAUGGAGCCCCUUGGACGGCGAGGCCGUAUACACGCGAGCAGGGAGCGCGGGACAGUCUGGCGUGGGUGGGACGCCAUGGAGACACCACCUCCUUCUCCGUGGGGAGGCCCCGGCUCCUUGGCGGGUCUUGCGGCCCAGCCCCUGCGGGCUGACAGGAGAGGGCGCUGCAGGGCGGCCGGACGAUGCCCACGUCAGGCCGCGGGCGCGAAAGCCUUCAGCCACACUCGCCGAUCCAAGGGAUGGCCAAGGAUCUGCCCCUGCCCAGGCCCACGCCCAGCCUGGGGGAAUCAUUGAGAGGGAAGGCUCGGCUUCCCCCGUCACCUCGUCCACCCUGAGCCACGUCCACCGCGCUGGGGUUGGCCCUCCCGCACACUCUGGUGGUUUCCUGUCUGCGAGGGCUGGGGAUCGAACAUAGGCCUUGCACACCAUAGACAAGCACUCUCCCACUGAGCUCCACCCCGCUCGGGGGCCUCUGGACUCUUAACCAGCUUAGCCUCCCUCCUCUGAUCCCAGCACGGAAGUAAACAAAGACCAUCCAACCAACAAGGACUCUCGCUCAGGAGUGAUGCCAUGGCAGGACGGGGAGAGCUUCAGAGUGGACAGGAGACCAUUUCCGGUGUGCCUGGCAGGAGGCUUCCAGCCUAGGGAUCAGGAGGCAGCUACCUGGAUGCGGGACACCCCAUUUAAUUGGCCAGAGGAACAUAUUUGGCUUUUGCUUGGAAAAGAGGAUAAGUUGGAAACAGAGAGCACGGGAAGAGAAUAUUGUGGCUGCAGUUCUUGAAAACCCUGCCUCAUACUGUGGCUUUGGGAAGACAGAGAAGCUGACUGCAGGAGCUCCACCUGCACUUCCUGCUCCAGAUGCUCCCUCCAUGGAGACCCCUGGAAUAAACCAGAGUGGGGCCCCAAAUGCCAAGGAACUUCUUGCCAUCACCCAUUUCUGAUGGCUAUUGCCAGCCCCAGCAGGAAGAGGAGAAGCUGGACUGAAGGUGGUAAAGAAGCCCAGAAGAGGCUGCAGUCUCUGCAAAAGCACUGAGAUGCAAAGGCCCCACUCCUCUGAGUAGGUCAGAUGCCCCGGAAGGUUAUAGAAUGGCACGGCCAUCCUUCCAGGGGUUUCAAGAAGACUCUGCCUCAGCAAUUUCCAGAACAAAUGUGCUGUUUGUUUGAGUCAGGAAAUCACAGGCUGCAAAUUCCCCAGGGGCCCAAGAAUCCAGCCCCUGGCUCCUCCUGUCCUUGUGUGAGCAGGACAGUUAGAUGCACACCACAGCACUGAGGUUAAAUUACAACAACCUAACCUGGGCUGGCCCUCAGAUGCCAAGAUUCCCCUCAGAGAGGGUCAGUGGUUAACCAGGUCUCUCCAGGACUCUCACAUAAGUGGCCUGAAUGGGGGCAGCUCUGCUCUGACCCAGGUAGCUCUCACCCUAACCCUGCAGUGGUGGUGAGCUGUGGAGCCAGGGUGGAUGCAUCAUAGGUGUUUCAGCGAAGACAGCCCCUAAUUUCCCAUACCUUCACGGUGUCCCCACCAUUGCCUGGCCAAAGUUCUGCCUACCCAGUCUGAUCCCUUCUCCUCUUUAUCCAGCCUCUUCCUCUUUUUUGUUUGUUUGUUUGUCGAGACUAAGUCUCACCAUGUAAUUCAGGAUGGCCUGAAACUCCUCGGACUCACUAUGUAGCCCAGGCUGGCCUUGAACUUGUGGCAAUCCUCUUGCCUCAGCCUGCCAAGUGUUGGGAUUACAGGUGUGCACCACCUUCCCCAGCCUGUUCCUCUUAUUCUGCCACUUUACCCUAGGACUUUGCUCAUUCAUUCUUUCCAAAUGUCCCCUCUCCCUGUCAAUCUGGGUCCAUUCCAUGCCUGGUUUGUAAGCAUAACUGACCUGAUCCCUAAUUGCAAGCCCCCAGUCUCUCCCAGGAAGCCCAGGUUUGACAAGUGUGACCCCCAGGGUACUGGGUCACCACAGGAAAUGCCAGAGUCCAAAGUCUACCCAGGACUGGCAGCUCAGAUGGUUCCAGGGCAGAAAUAACCUGAGCCUGAUGCCCUUUGAGAAGCUGGCAGAUGGACACACACAUCCAUCUCAGCAGAGGGAAUGAGGGGCAAGACCAAGGCCUUAGGCUGUGCAUGGAGAGGAACAGGGGCUGGCCGUAGGGAUGGGCACUAAGAACAGUCUCGGCCUCACUCAGGGGACAAAAAGCACACAAAGAGUUCUCCAGACCCCAUUUUCCACUGAGGAGCCGGGGCAAACAGAAGGUUGGAUGACACACUCGAUUGGCAAGGGUGGGAGAAGGCACUCUCGGGCUUUGCUAGGACUGUAAGCUGAUCCCAUCUCUAUGGAGGGGGCAGCUCGCCAGUGUCUGCCAAAGGCACAGACUCCUUGACCCAGCAAUUCUACUUCCAGCUAUGGAUACUUAUCUGGGAAAUGGUCCCUUGGUGUUGUUUGUAGCAAUGACUGAAGAUGGGAGGUACCCUUCUUAGGGGACUGGGUCUGUGACAGGAUACAAUGGGCAGAGUAAAGAGUUAAGAGACACUGAAGUAUGACCAUGGAACCAGGUGGUAGAUGAAUUGUAAAGAGGGAAAAUAGCGGGCUGUGCUAUGCGGGCAGCUCCUCGGGAGGCUGAGGAAAGAGGAUUGCAAAUUCAAGGCCAGCCUGGGUAACUUAAUGAGACCCUGUCUCGAAAUAAAGAAGGCUAGGUAUGUAGCUCAGCGGUAGAGCCCUUGCCUAGCAUGCAGGCAGUGGGAGGAAGUGGAGGAGGAAGAGGAGAGAGGAAGAAAAACAGAGUCAAGGGCUGAAAAGGCUGUGGGCUGACUGGCUUCCGGUCUCAAUGCUGCGUAAAAGAGAGACCAUACACACGCUUGUCUGCUCCUGCAUUGCAAGGAAUUUCUCUGAAUGGAUAUCAGAGAAAUGGGUUGCCUUGGUUUUAUAGGAACAACUAUUUUCUUUAUAUAUAUUUUUGUAACUAAAAUUUUGGCCACGGUGGCGGCACACACCAGUAAUCCCAGCACUUGGAAGGUUGAGGCAGGAGGAUUGCCAGUUCAAGGCCAUCCUGGCUUACAUUCAGAAACCUUAUCAUGAAAAAAAACACUCCCUCCCCAAAAUCUUUUUGAACUGUUGUAAGCAUGUCACCUAUUCAAAAAUUAAAUAAAUAUAAAGUAUGUGAGCCCCAGCUCUGUAAUGGAAAUGAUACAAUCUCAUUGUUUUUUUUGUUUUUUUUAAUGAGCGUUUUGUUUUGUUUUGUUUCUGAGAGUGUGUCUUUUUGUACUGUCCAGGCUGGUUUUGAACUUCUGGCUUCAGGAGAUCCUCUUGCCUCAGCCUCCUUGAAUAGCUGGCACUACAAGUAUGUUCCACCGUACCCAGCUUGCAUCAGUAGUUGAAGUGCUGGGGGACCAAAUCCUGCAUGCUAGGAAAGUGCUCUACCACUGAGCUACGUCUGCAGCCCAAGGUCACCAUUUUGCCUGCCCACCAGCAGUGUAUGUGGGUUUAGGGUGAUUCACAGCUUUGCCAGCGCUUGGUGCUGUCAGUCUUGUUAUUUCAGACUUCACAGCAGGACUUUGACACCAUCCAUCUAGGUAGAACCUCUGGCUAAGCUCCCAGGGAGGAGGAGAAAUGCCAAUUUUACAGAAAACUCAAGAAGAUCCAUUCACCUGCUUCCUGGGAGAACAGAUGGUAUUUUGCCUGAGGAAUAUGAAGAAUGCAAAUUUGCUUUCUCUCACUCAGGAUGGAGUUGGUGCUUAUAAAAAGAUACACAGACUAAUAAAUGCUGCCAGUUUGCAAAGCCAACUUAUCCUAGUUUUUUGACAACAAAAUGGUACAUCCUGCAAGAUGUUACUUCUCCACUUGAAACACAUUUUUCAUCAAGCCAAAUAAGUUGCCACAGAUGCCACACCUCCUUCUUACAUGUGUCUUCCUGCCUCUGCCUCCCAGAGUGCUGGGAUUACAGGCAUGUGCCACCAUGCCUAGUCCUACAAACUUCCUCAAACUGUGGAGUCAGGGUUCAUCUUGAUCUGUGUCAGGUCUGAAUACAGUGCCCUCUGGGUCUCUGCUGAGGCUGUCACGUGACACCAGAGUGAAGAGCAGAGGUGACCAAGGGGGAGUGGUCCUUCAGACCCUGGCUGUAGCUCCUAUUCUGUAUCUGGGAAGACUCCUAGCUCUGGCCUCUUGUGAACCCCAGGAAGGAUGGGACUUCUGAGUUCUCUCUGAGCUUGUCAUGCAGUGCCAAUAUUACACUGUGUACUACAUUAAAGGAGGCCUCUGAGUUUUCUUCUUGUGCAACAGGGUGGUCUACUUGGGGAUAAGAGACCGUGGGCCAUCAGUCCAAGGGGCAAGAGCAGUGGGUACUGCCUGGGACGAAGGGUUGCUCUUUCCAGCUCUACCAUUGCCUUGCUGCUGGACCUGAGCAAAGAACUUGACUUCUGUGAGCCCCUUUGGCUCAUCUGUAACCUGGCAGCUCUGCAGUCUGACCUGCCCAUCUCAUGGGAUUAUUGCAAGAUGCACAUGAUUGAGCAUAGAACAUUUCUGGAAAGAUGCAGCCAGCCCAAACUAUUCAGUGGCUUCUCUGGGAAACAGAAGAAGGAAGAGAGCAGAGAGGAGGUCAUGAGGAUUAACAUUUUCAUUUUCAAUCAAUUGUGAUUUUAUUUCAUUUUUUUAAUACAGGGAUUGAACCCAGGGCUUUACAGUGAGCUGCACUUCCAGCCCUAUUUAUUUAUUAUUUUGAAACACAGUUUCACU